rnacentral:rRNA from 1 species
GACGGGGGGGGCAAGUGUUCUUCGGAAUUACUGGGCGUAAAGCGCACGUAGGCGGUCUUUUAAGUCGGGGGUGAAAUCCUGGAGCUCAACUCCAGAACUGCCUUCGAUACUGGAAGACUUGAGUCCGGGAGAGGUGAGUGGAACUGCGAGUGUAGAGGUGAAAUUCGUAGAUAUUCGCAAGAACACCAGUGGCGAAGGCGGCUCACUGGCCCGGUACUGACGCUGAGGUGCGAAAGCGUGGGGAGCAAACAGG